AUCCAGCCGAUGAGUUCCAAAUAUGACGAAAUGCGUGUCCUGGAU
rfam:Schistosoma mansoni strain Puerto Rico chromosome 1, complete genome